GAUGAACGCUGGCGGCGUGCCUAAUACAUGCAAGUCGAGCGAACAGACGAGGAGCUUGCUCCUUUGACGUUAGCGGCGGACGGGUGAGUAACACGUGGGUAACCUACCUAUAAGACUGGGAUAACUUCGGGAAACCGGAGCUAAUACCGGAUAAUAUUUCGAACCGCAUGGUUCGAUAGUGAAAGAUGGCUUUGCUAUCACUUAUAGAUGGACCUGCGCCGUAUUAGCUAGUUGGUAAGGUAACGGCUUACCAAGGCAACGAUACGUAGCCGACCUGAGAGGGGGAUCGGCCACACUGGAACUGAGACACGGUCCAGACUCCUACGGGAGGCAGCAGUAGGGAAUCUUCCGCAAUGGGCGAAAGCCUGACGGAGCAACGCCGCGCGAGUGAUGAAGGUCUUCGGAUCGUAAAACUCUGUUAUUAGGGAAGAACAAACGUGUAAGUAACUGUGCACGUCUUGACGGUACCUAAUCAGAAAGCCACGGCUAACUACGUG
rnacentral:rRNA from 1 species